CGUACAACAAAGUGAGGAGAGCUGCACUGCGCUGCAGGUGAAAUGCAUGCACAAUUUAUUUAAUGACUCCUACGCACUUGGGUUUAUUCUUUCCUCAUCAUCCUCCAUAAAUAACACAACUCCUCUUAAAACAAUAGGAAUACAGGCAAAGUUUGACAUUUCUCAAAGUCAUUGUUUGCAAUUGAUAUAAGUAUACUCACGGGUUUGGUAUUUGUGUAUAUCGCAAAGUUUUACCCACAGUAAAAUUUUGGCAAUCGUUUCAUCCAGUUAAAAUCUUGAGACAAAAUUAAAUUAGUAAUAUUUCUGACCGUAAUUUGUACUCGAUUUUUUAUGCUCGUGGUUUUAAACUGUGAUAAACUAUCCAAACUGUGACUUUGCAAAUGCAUAAGCACAUUAUUUGUAAAUUAUUUUGCAGUAGUUGGAUUGUGAGUAGUGAUUAUGUGGAGAUAUAAAGAUUGUAGAAUUCUUAAUGUGGGUGGAAGUGAUUUAUUUGCAUUGGUGCAAAGCUUAAAACAAAAUAAAAUAAUCAAAUAGAUAAGGUAUCAGUUAAAAAGAUAAUGAUUUUUUAAUCACUUUUUUCAACGAUUGUUAAAAUCUUCAAUUCCAUUUAUGAAAAAUAGUGGCUUCCACUACGUGCAAAGCGAAAAGCUUGUACAAUUCUUAAUGUGGGUGGAAGUAGAAGUGAUUAAUUUGCAUGUACUGUGUGGUUUGAUGCAAAUUAUAAAAAACAAAAUAAAAUAAUAAAUAAGUAAUCUCAUUGAUAAGACAUCACUUAAAAAGUUGACGAUUUGUUAAUUACUUUUUUAACGAGUGCUAAAAUCUCCUAAUUUAAAUAUUCUUCAAUUCUACCCAUUCCUGAAAAAGAAUGACUUCCACCACGUGCAACCCGAAGAAGAAGACGCUUCAGAAAUACACCGCAUCCGUGACGCGAUAUCCCCCCAAGAGGAAGCAGAGUCCCCCCCACGCCCCCUCCACGUCCACCUACGACGCCCGUCUCCUCACCGCCAAAGUCGUGGACUCGAUCUGGAACACGACGAUAAUUCGGGUGGACGCUGACGAGCUGAAAAUUGUCGAAUCCAAAGACGAUCUAAUGCCAGAUCUUCAUAGAAAAUCAGAGGACGUCGAAGUCAUCCAAAUUGAUCUCCUCGUGGACCACGAGACUCUCAAAGUUCUCAAGUUUGACCAACUGGGCAAAAUUUACUUGGAGAUGGACGCCGUCAUUGAGGACAUGCAAAUUCUGCGAGGGGGGCAGAGACAGCAUAAAGAAGGAUGAAUAGUGAAUGCAUAAAUGUGGUAUCAAAAAAGAACGGGGUACAAAUUGAGACGGGGAAAAUGUUGGUUUUGAGCUGGAGGUGUUAUUUGCCAUACAUUUUUGACACUGAAUUUCAUUAAAACGUUGAAAGAAUAAAGAACUGUUUGAGUAA